UUUUAUCCAAUCCCAGAGGUUUCCCUGCUUUGCUUUCUCCCACCUCCCUUGUCUGCCACUAAUGAAUUUCAUAUAAUCCACAUAUGCUCCCUCCUUU